rnacentral:rRNA from 1 species
UACGAAGGGAGCUAGCGUUAUUCGGAAUUACUGGGCGUAAAGAGCGCGUAGGUGGUUUAUUAAGUUAGGAGUGAAAGCCCGGGGCUUAACCUCGGAAUAGCUCUUAAAACUAGUAGACUAGAGAACGAUAGAGGAUGGUGGAAUUCCUAGUGUAGAGGUGAAAUUCUUAGAUAUUAGGAGGAACACCGGUGGCGAAGGCGGCCAUCUGGGUCGUUUCUGACACUAAGGCGCGAAAGCGUGGGGAGCAAACAGG